rfam:Nomascus leucogenys chromosome 10, whole genome shotgun sequence.
UUUAGCAGCACAUAUACUAAAAAAAAAAAAAAAAAUUGGAACGAUACAGAGAAGAUUAGUGUGGCCCCUGUGCAAGGGUGACACACCAAUUCAUGAAGUAUUCCAUAAAAUAUUUUU